GAGUGUAUAGCUCAGUGGUAGAGCACAUGCUUAGCAUGCAUGAGGUCCUGGGUUCAAUCCCCAGUACCUCU
rnacentral:tRNA from 1 species